ACCUGACACAGCCUUUCUGUGCUGAGCAUCCAGAGCCUGGUCAAUUUCAUCAAACAAGUAAAAUGGAGCCGGGUCACAUUUCUGAAUGGCAAAAAUCAGAGCAAGGGCUACCAAGGAUUUCUGUCCACCUGAAAGCUGUUGCAUUUCUCUCAUUUCACCUUGUUUUCCUGUAAAUGACACCUAAAAAUAAACAUAUUAUGAGUUAAUAUCCUAAAGGGCAGAAUCACCACCAUCUUUCAAAAGUAACUUGCAUAUAAUGCACCAAUCAGAUUUGCAAAAGAUACUAUAAAUUCUAUUACGGUAAUGCUCUGAGGAAAAUGGAAUAUAAAGGUAUUUUACCCUAAUUCCAACUCCAGUAAACUGGUCAACUGAUGGGACACUGCUUUGUGAGCCAGAACCCCUCUCACUCUCACCACUCCCUUCUCCUUCAUCUUGAGACUGACUGCCCUCCACAUCUCCUUUCUUCAUCACCAAAGUAGCUUUGCCACCAGGUACUAACUUCUGGAAUACUUCACUGAAGUUCUUAGAUACCUGUUUGAAAGUUAACUGAAUAGCUUCAUAUUUCCGAAGUUCAAGUACAUUCAUCAGUUCCAUGAUCGAUUUGUAACCCCUAUCUAACUCUUCUUGACGCUUUAUUAACUUUUCUUUCUGCUCGGAGAAAUUUACAAACUGAUCCAAAGCCUUUUUGUUAACAUGGCUGUACUUCUUUAAUUCUGUGUUGCACUGCUCAAGUUUUCGAAACAACUAUAAAGAGAAAAUAUGUAUUCAUAUAAAUAAAUUUAUAUACUGAGCAAUUUGUAACAAGACUUCAAAUUUAAAACCAACCUGUUUGAGGCUCAGUGUCUGGUACUUUUCAAAUGCUUCCUGGGGAAGUGAUCCAAGUUCUCGAAUUUUCUUCAUACACUCUUCUUUCUUCUUCAAUAGCAUGCCUUGCCGAUUUGUCAUCUUUUCCAGUUCUUUAGUAUCAUGAUUUAUAGCAUCCAUAUGUUCUUUUUCCAUAUUUUUCCAGCGCUCCAUACUCUUCUGAAGCUCCUUAAUUCCAGCUUCUGUUUUAUCAAUGGAAUUGUCCAAAUCUAA
rnacentral:lncRNA from 1 species